GAAUUCGCCCUUAGAGUCUGAUCCUGGCUCAGGAUGAACGCUGGCGGCGUGCCUAACACAUGCAAGUCGAACGGAACUUCUUCGACAGAAUUCUUCGGAAGGAAGUUGAUUAAGUUUAGUGGCGGACGGGUGAGUAACGCGUGAGUAACCUGCCUUUGAGAGGGGAAUAACUUCCCGAAAGGGAUGCUAAUACCGCAUGACGCAUAUUUAUCGCAUGGUAGAUAUGCCAAAGAUUUAUCGCUCAAAGAUGGACUCGCGUCCGAUUAGCCAGUUGGCGGGGUAACGGCCCACCAAAGCGACGAUCGGUAGCCGGACUGAGAGGUUGAACGGCCACAUUGGGACUGAGGCACGGCCCAGACUCCUACGGGAGGCAGCAGUGGGGGAUAUUGCGCAAUGGGGGAAACCCUGACGCAGCAACGCCGCGUGAAGGAUGAAGGUUUUCGGUAUGUAAAGCUCUAUCAGCAGGGAAGAAAAUGACGGUACCUGACUAAGAAGCCCCGGCUAACUACGUGCCAGCAGCCGCGGUAAUACGUAGGGGGCAAGCGUUAUCCGGAAUUACUGGGUGUAAAGGGUGCGUAGGUGGUAUGGCAAGUCAGAAGUGAAAACCCAGGGCUUAACUCUGGGACUGCUUUUGAAACUGUCAGACUGGAGUGCAGGAGAGGUAAGCGGAAUUCCUAGUGUAGCUGUGAAAUGCGUAGAUAUUAGGAGGAACAUCAGUGGCGAAGGCGGCUUACUGGACUGAAACUGACACUGAGGCACGAAAGCGUGGGGAGCAAACAGGAAUAGAUACCCUGGUAGUCCACGCCGUAAACGAU
rnacentral:rRNA from 1 species